ACUCCUACGGGAGGCAGCAGUGGGGAAUAUUGCACAAUGGGCGCAAGCCUGAUGCAGCGACGCCGCGUGGGGGAUGAAGGCCUUCGGGUUGUAAACCCUUUCAGCAGGGAAGAAGCGCAAGUGACGGUACCUGCAGAAGAAGCGCCGGCUAACUACGUGCCAGCAGCCGCGGUAAUACGUAGGGCGCAAGCGUUGUCCGGAAUUAUUGGGCGUAAAGAGCUCGUAGGCGGUUUGUCGCGUCUGCUGUGAAAUCCCGAGGCUCAACCUCUGGGCCUGCAGUGGGUACGGGCAGACUAGAGUGUGGUAGGGGAGACUGGAAUUCCUGGUGUAGCGGUGGAAUGCGCAGAUAUCAGGAGGAACACCGAUGGCGAAGGCAGGUCUCUGGGCCACAACUGACGCUGAGGA
rnacentral:rRNA from 1 species